rnacentral:rRNA from 1 species
UACAGGGGGGGCAAGCGUUGUUCGGAAUUACUGGGCGUAAAGGGCCAGUAGGCGGCCAACUAAGUCCGACGUGAAAUCCCAAGGCUUAACCUUGGAACUGCGUCGGAUACUGGAUGGCUUGAAUUCGGGAGAGGGAUGCAGAAUUCCAGGUGUAGCGGUGAAAUGCGUAGAUAUCUGGAGGAAUACCGGUGGCGAAGGCGGCAUCCUGGACCGGUAUUGACGCUGAGGCGCGAAAGCGUGGGGAGCAAACAGG